GAUGAACGCUGGCGGCGUGCCUAAUACAUGCAAGUCGAGCGAACGGACGAGAAGCUUGCUUCUCUGAUGUUAGCGGCGGACGGGUGAGUAACACGUGGAUAACCUACCUAUAAGACUGGGAUAACUUCGGGAAACCGGAGCUAAUACCGGAUAAUAUUUUGAACCGCAUGGUUCAAAAGUGAAAGACGGUCUUGCUGUCACUUAUAGAUGGAUCCGCGCUGCAUUAGCUAGUUGGUAAGGUAACGGCUUACCAAGGCAACGAUGCAUAGCCGACCUGAGAGGGUGAUCGGCCACACUGGAACUGAGACACGGUCCAGACUCCUACGGGAGGCAGCAGUAGGGACGCUUCCGCAAUGGGCGAAAGCCUGACGGAUCAACGCCGCGUGAGUGAUGAAGGUCUUCGGAUCGUAAAACUCUGUUAUUAGGGAAGAACAUAUGUGUAAGUAACUGUGCACAUCUUGACGGUACCUAAUCAGAAAGCCACGGCUAACUACGUG
rnacentral:rRNA from 1 species